rnacentral:rRNA from 1 species
GAUGAACGCUGACAGAAUGCUUAACACAUGCAAGUCUUUGGCGAAGCUGUGCUUGCACAGCCUAGCCAAGGCGGACGGGUGAGUAACGCGUAAGGAACUUGCCCUGCAGUCAGGGAUAACAGACGGAAACGACUGAUAAGACCUGGUAAAGUCAGGCGGACUCAUGUCCAGCCUGAUGAAAAGAGAUGCUGCAGGAGAGCCUUGCGUCCUAUUAGCUUGUUGGUGGGGUAACGGCCCACCAAGGCGAUGAUAGGUAGCCGGCCUGAGAGGGUGGACGGCCACAAGGGGACUGAGAUACGGCCCGUACUCCUACGGGAGGCAGCAGUGGGGAAUAUUGGACAAUGGGGGCAACCCUGAUCCAGCAAUUCUGUGUGCACGAUGAAGGUUUUCGGAUUGUAAAGUGCUUUCAGCAGGGAAGAAAAAAUGACGGUACCUGCAGAAGAAGCGACGGCUAAAUACGUG